GAUGAAGAACGCAGCGAAAUGCGAUAAGUAAUGUGAAUUGCAGAAUUCAGUGAAUCAUCGAAUCUUUGAACGCACAUUGCGCCCGCCAGUAUUCUGGCGGGCAUGCCUGUUCGAGCGUCAUUACAACCCUCAGGCCCCCGGGCCUGGCGUUGGGGAUCGGCGGAGCCCCCCGUGGGCACGCGCCGUCCCCCAAAUGCAGUGGCGGUCCCGCCGCAGCUUCCAUCGCGUAGUAGCUAACACCUCGCGACUGGAGAGCGGCGCGGCCACGCCGUAAAACACCCAACUCUUCUGAAGUUGACCUCGAAUCAGGUAGGAAUACCCGCUGAACUUAAGCAUAUCAAUAAGCGGAGGA
rnacentral:misc_RNA from 1 species